rnacentral:rRNA from 1 species
GACGUAGGGCGCGAGCGUUGUCCGGAUUUAUUGGGCGUAAAGAGCUCGUAGGCGGCUUGUCGCGUCGUUCGUGAAAACCCGGGGCUCAACUCCGGGCUUGCGGGCGAUACGGGCAGGCUAGAGUUCGGUAGGGGAGACUGGAAUUCCUGGUGUAGCGGUGAAAUGCGCAGAUAUCAGGAGGAACACCUGCGGCGAAGGCGGGUAGCUGGGCCGACACUGACGCUGAGGCGCGAAAGCCAGGGGAGCGAACGGG